UGGGGGAAGGGUAGGAAAAUGCCUGAAGGAACGAGAGCUAACGGUUUUCCAACUGUGAUGAAAACACUAUGCCCACAGAUGCAACACGCUCAAGCCCCAGGCAAGGUAAAGCAAAGAAGGUAAACUGUGUGAAGCCCAAGGGGUGCACUGUUUUAUCUUCCUCUGCACUGCAUGCAAUCCAGAGCCUGCUUUCUUAGCACUUAGGUCUUGGCGUGGAAAACACUUUCUCAGGCUACCCCACAUCUGUCCAAGUAUGCAGCAGCCACCACCGACACCUACCCCAGCCUUGCACUGGAGUUGAGCGCCCCCCAUCUCCAUGACAACCAUCACCCCAGCAAUGACACGCAAGGCAGCCUCCACCUGUGCGGCAGAAUGUGAUGCUGGGCUUGACACCUCAGAUACAGCAGUGAGUUUCUGGAAAGGUGUUGGUCAGAGCUUAGCUGCAGAGCCUCCCCUGCAAGGAGCUGAGGAUCUCGCCUGCCUCACUGCCGGGAGGGGAACCACAACAACAGGAACACACAGCACCAUGGCUGGACAAAUGCACUCAGCCGACGUGAACCACAGAGACACAAAGACCAGAACCACUCAUGGUGUAUUAAAAAAGGAGCAAGACCAUGUCUGAUCUGAACCUUCAAGGAUAAAGAAACUAAUGAUAGGC
rnacentral:lncRNA from 1 species